rnacentral:ribozyme from 1 species
GAGAGAGAGAGAGAGAGAGAAGAGAAAGAGAGAAGAGAGAAAGAGUUUCUCUGUCUUCUCAUACGCCUCCACUUUUUUUCUCGUUUCUUCUUUUUUUCUUUUUCUUUUCCACUCAAAGAGAUUGAGAGAGAGAGAGAGAGAAGAGAGUUACUUAUCGCACCUAAAAGAAGAA